GGAGAAUUACCCAAGAGGCUGAAGGGGGCGGUUUCGAAAACCGCUAGACGUGAAAGCGUGCGGGGGUUCAAAUCCCUCAUUCUCCGCCA
rnacentral:tRNA from 1 species